AUUUUACCAAUUUUUACUGAUACAAUUCACAGGCCGUAAAAUUCACCCCUUUAAUAUGUACAAUUUAGUAGUUUUUAGAAUAAGCACAAGGUUGUACAAACCACUCUACUUCUAGAUUUUCAUCACUCCAAAAAAGGAACCCGCUGUAGUCCCCUCAGACCCAGGCAAUCAACCACCAACCAAUUCCAUAUAAAUGGAAUCACACGUGAUGUGGACUUUUGUAUCUGGCUUUUCUCACUUAGCAUGUUUACCAGGUUCACCUGUGAUGUGGCAUACAGCGACGCUCCACUCCUCUUCAUGGCUGAAUGGUCUUCCGUGGUAUUCGUAUACCUAUUUGUUUAGGAAUUCACAACUGAUGGACCUUUGGCUGCUAUCGAGAAGGACAUGACAUUCUUUUUUUUUUUUGAGACAGAGUCUCACUGUCGCCCAGGCUGGAGUGCAGUGGCACAAUCUCAGCUCACUGCAGCCUC
rnacentral:lncRNA from 1 species